rnacentral:rRNA from 1 species
UCGAGAAUCUUUCGCAAUGGGGGAAACCCUGACGGAGCGACGCCGCGUGUAGGAUGAAGGCCUUCGGGUUGUAAACUACUGUUAGCUGGGAAGAAAGAGCUUUGAUUAACAAUCAAAGUUUUUGACGGUACCAGCAGAGGAAGCUACGGCUAACUCUGUGCCAGCAGCCGCGGUAAUACAGAGGUAGCAAGCGUUGUUCGGAUUUAUUGGGCGUAAAGGGUCUGUAGGCGGUUCGGAAAGUCGGAUGUGAAAUCCCACAGCUCAACUGUGGAACUGCAUUCGAAACUUCCGAGCUUGAGUGUGAGAGGGGUAAAGGGAAUUCCCGGUGUAAGGGUGAAAUCUGCAGAGAUCGGGAGGAACAUCAGUCGCGAAGGCGCUUUACUGGCUCACUACUGACGCUGAGGGACGAAAGCUAGGGGAGCAAACGGGAUUAGAUACCCCCGUAGUCC